rnacentral:rRNA from 1 species
GAUGAACGCUGGCGGCGUGCCUAAUACAUGCAAGUCGAGCGAACGGACGAUAAGCUUGCUUCUCUGAUGUUAGCGGCGGACGUGUGAGUAACACUUGGAUAACCUACCUAUAAGACUGGGAUCACUUCGGGAAACCGGAGCUAAUACCGGAUGAUAUUUUGAACCGCAUGGUUCAAAAGUGAAAGACGGUCUUGCUGUCACUUAUAGAUUGCUCCGCGCUGCAUUAGCUAGUUGGUAAGGUAACGGCUUACCAAGGCAACGAUGCAUAGCCGACCUGAGAGGGUGAUCGGCCACAAUGGAACUGAGACACGGUCCAGACGCCUACGGGAGGAAGCAGUAGGGAAUCUUCCGCAAUGGGCGAAAGCCUGACGGAGCAACGCCGCGUGAGUGAUGAAGGUAUUCGGAUCGUAAAACUCUGUUAUUAGGGAAGAACAUAUGUGUAAGUAACUGUGCACAUCUUGACGGUACCUAAUCAGAAAGCCACGGCUAACUACGUG